UUUGAAUGGGAAGAAAAAAAGUAACUUUAAGAAUUUCCUGCCGAUUCCACGGCAUUUCAUUAUUUUCGAAAAAUACUGGUGAUGACAUCACCAGCAUGAUCCUGUCUCCAUCGCUCCCAACACAUCGGUCUGUGAAGUGAUUACAACGGCUAAUUUUCUAGGGAAUUCGUCAGCCCAUUUUUGUGCAAUGGAUUCCACCGAUUUUGCCAGGACCCAUGUUUUGGGAAUCUAACGAACGAAAUUCUCAUUUCUCUGCUACUGACAAAUCAGUAAGCUCCUAAAUAAUUUUUUUCUCCAUUCAAUUUUCGAAUUUCUUCUGCAGCUUUACGACCCAAGUUUGAGUGAUCGUUUUGAGUUUAGUUGGCUCUAUGUAUUGUUAACUGUUGUAAAAAUAGACCAGCACCUGAAUGCAAUAAAUCAGAAAUUACUGAUGUAUUGCUAUUUCUUGUGGUCCUUUGUUCGUAAUUGAUUAAACGAUGGAUCGAAAAACAGUUUAGGUUGUUCAAUUAAACAAAUGCAACAAAUUUUAACUUUUAAUUGCACUAGAUUUCCCUUGUUCCUUUGAAAUGUUAAGCAUUUUGGCCGUUUUUUAAAUAAUUGGAACAAAAGUGCCUGUGGCGCAAAAUAUUUGUUUAUCGGUUUCUUACGUUUAUUGAAAAAACCUCAAGUCCAAGAUAAAAACGAAAUCUAUUUUCUUGAUCCUCGUCAAAUUUUGAGUGGAAAACAUGCAUUUUUAACUAUAUCUAGAAUUUGUCAAAAAAUGAAAAAGUGGGAAGGCUAUACCCUUCUCACUUUUAUCAAAAUCUGCAAAAAUUCACAUCUCUUGGAAUUCGCUGAAAAUUAUACGGUAUAGUCGAAAUUGAAUGCAGAUUUCAGAAAACAUAUUAGUUUCCCCAUUAAUUAUAUAAUUUCUUAAUAAGACGCAAUUAAAGUGGUUAUGGGUAUGGCGCAUCUGUUUUUAGUCCCAAGUAAAAUCGAAAUAGAUUUUUGUGAUCCUCGUUGAUUUUUUUAUCUAAAUCAUACAUGUUCAUGGUAUGGACAAAUGCAAGAAGAUUGAACAAAAUGCUAAAGCGCAACAAAAGAAUAAAAGACUUCCAACUUCCGCCCACAAAGAUGUUUAAGGAAAAACCUAAAGUUGGAGCUUGAUACAUUUUUUUCUCAUGGAAAGUUUUGUAAAACAAAUGGCAAACUGGUUAAAUGAAACUUGAUUCCUUUUUUUUUAAUUCGUUAAUUAAUUUUUGUGUGUGUGUUUUUGUUCUGUUAUGGUGGAACGGUGGAGAGAAAAGAUGUUCGCGAAUAUGGGCAAUUCGAGAUCCAAGUAGAAACGGAGUGCAUAUUGUUUAAAGGCUUAUAGACUGGUAUUACUGACCAAUGUUGACAGCGUAGACAAGGUUACAGAAAGGUUGCAUUGAUCUUAAUGGCUGGUGUACAAUUACAGGACGAAAAAUGUCAUCAGCUGACGGAACAGCUGACAUGCCCAUAAAAAUUCUACGGAGUUAGUUAUUUCUCCCCUAGAUGUCUUGAAAAUAUACGGGAAAUGUCAGCUGUCCCGUCAGCUGUUCCAUUUCGCGUGGCUUCUGACUGAGGAUGGCUGCUGAUACGAACUUCUCUCUUCUUGAAAUUUUACCACCUAUGCCGUGUGUUUUGAGUUGCAUCUGGUGAAUUCAAUCAAUGCUGAGUUGUUCAAGGAGGAACAUGGCUUGGCUUUGCUAGCACGUUUUUCAUCUCCGUUAGUCUGAUAUACCCAUUUUGUUUCAAAGGUCUUUAUCACCUGAUGUACUGUUGUGGCUGUGGAAUCAUUCAGUGACUUGGUUCAAUCCAGGACUUGGUUUCUUCGAAAAUGGUUUACAGUUUUAAUUUGCAGAGAUCCUGGAGGCACCUGAUGUGUUUCAUUGGCGUUGGAGUCACUCGGUGACAGAAGAGAAUGCCUCUAAUGUUAUGUUGUCAGUGUAAAUAAAACAUAUUCAGUAUCA